rnacentral:lncRNA from 1 species
AAUCUAAUCCAGUUAGACUCAAACCAAGCCAAUUAGGUGCCAACUCUUGGUUAACCCAUAUUAGGAUAUGAUCUAAUCAAAUUAGAUCAAUUAAGAAUCAGAUUCGAAUCGAAUUCGAAUCUGAUUCGAAUCCAAUUCGAAUCAGGAGCUAAGGUUUGCAACACCUGCUAUGAUGUUUAUCUUGCAAACAUGAUCUAAUCCAAUUAGACCCUUGAUUAGUUUUCUUGUGUGUGACCCAUUGGGUUCCAUACUUAGCCAGCAAUAGGUGUGAGUGCGAGUUGACCUAUCUUGAUUAGAACUCUUCUAAUCGAUUUAGGUCCAAAUUGUGCGAACUCGAACUUAACAAUUAGAAUUCUUUCUAAUUGGUGAUCGAAUU